GCGGGGUAUUAGGGACCUUGGAAAAUAGGUUAGUGUCUUUUUGACAAUAGUAUAAUGAGGGAAUGCACAUACAGUCAUAACUCCCAUUUUGGAUCCUUCAUUCACGUUUGCAUUAUCCUCCUCUAAUUUUGAAAAAAUUACAGGAGUAUCGUUGAUUCUUACUCUCUAAAAAAGUAUAUAAUUAGCUUACUCAAUUAAUCAAUAGAAAAAAGAUAAUACCGUUUCGUCAAAAACAUAAUAAAGAAGCUUUUUGUCGCUAGCAGAUGGAAGCACCGUUGUAUCGGCUAUUUUAACUAUAGC